GAUGAACGCUGGCGGCGUGCUUAGCACAUGCAAGUCGAACGAGAAAUGUAGACGGAAACCUUCGGGCGGAAGCCUUCAUUUCGAGUGGCGGACGGGUGAGUAACGCGUGGGUAACCUGCCUCAUACAGGGGGAUAACAGUUGGAAACGACUGUUAAUACCGCAUAAGACCACAGCAUCGCAUGAUGCGGGGGUAAAAACUCCGGUGGUAUGAGAUGGACCCGCGUUCGAUUAGCCAGUUGGCGGGGUAACGGCCCACCAAAGCGACGAUCGAUAGCCGAUCUGAGAGGAUGACCGGCCACAUUGGGACUGAGACACGGCCCAAACUCCUACGGGAGGCAGCAGUGGGGAAUAUUGCACAAGGGGGGAAACCCUGAUGCAGCGACGCCGCGUGAGUGAAGAAGUACUUCGGUAUGUAAAGCUCUAUCAGCAGGGAAGAAAAUGACGGUACCUGAGUAAGAAGCCCCGGCUAACUACG
rnacentral:rRNA from 1 species